rnacentral:rRNA from 1 species
UUAUGGCUCAGGAUAAACGCUGGCGGCGCACAUAAGACAUGCAAGUCGAACGGAAGCCGUUUAAUGGAAAGAAGAUUAUCGGAAUAGAAGUUAAACAAUGACUUAGUGGCGGACUGGUGAGUAACGCGUGAGCAACCUGCCUAUUAGAGGGGAAUAACAGUGAGAAAUCAUUGCUAAUACCGCAUAAGCUAGUAGUACCGCAUGGUAUAGCUAGAAAAGGAGAAAUCCGCUAAUAGAUGGGCUCGCGUCUGAUUAGCUAGUUGGUGUGGUAAAGGCAUACCAAGGCAACGAUCAGUAGCCGAGCUGAGAGGCUCUACGGCCACAUUGGGACUGAGAUACGGCCCAGACUCCUACGGGAGGCAGCAGUCGGGAAUAUUGCGCAAUGGAGGAAACUCCUGACGCAGUGACGCCGCGUAUAGGAAGAAGGUUUUAGGAUUGUAAACUAUUUUAGACAGGGAAGAGAAAAGACAGUACCUGUAGAAUAAGCUCCGGCUAACUACGUGCCAGCCGCAGC